rnacentral:lncRNA from 1 species
CGAAGACUAAGGAACAAAGAAGUUCCCUUGGUCAAGGUGUUGUGGCAAAACCAAUCUGUUGAGGGUGCAACUUGGGAAGUUGAGGCCGAUAUGCUAUUCAAGUACCCACACCUAUUUUUUGUGAACUACAAUCAAGCCGAAGGUACCGUUCUUUCCUAAAUCAUGCACUUUUGAUAAAAGUUGCACCAGUUCAGCUGUCAUUUAUUAUGUG